rnacentral:lncRNA from 1 species
AUGAGAAACAUUGAAAGAACUCCUUUUGAGACUCUGGAAGUAAGAAUUUCCGGCUUUCUCCGCGGAAGGAAACCUCAGGAGGCGCGACUUCUCCAUCCUGAGGACAAUCUGAUUUUCCAGCAGAAAGCCCGUGAGUUCAUUUCUCUAUUCUUCUUCUUAGAAAAAAAACAAUUCGUUCUAAGCUUUUACUUUCAUUUCCUCCAGGAAAACAAAGUGGAAAAAAACGUUUCUGGGCCUCCUGUGUUCCUCCUGCACCUCGCACCUCCCGGCUUGGAUUCCCAAAGCUCAUCAGGCAUGAAAAUUCUCCCAGCACCUGCGGGAACCGCUUCGUUGCCAGCCCCUGUUACAGGUAAAUCUGCCUUCAACCCCAGCCGUGUCCGUGGACUCGUGUGUUUUCACUGGCUGGUUCUACACAGCUGCCAGCAGAGACUGCUCGACCUGAAAACCUCACCGUGUUUGUCAUUUGGCCCUUUACAGAGAGUGUGCCGCCCCUGAUGAAGACCCGGAAAACACAGAUAACCAGCGGCCUCUGCUGAUGACGGCCCUGCUGCCGUGCCCAACAGCGGGCGCGCUCUCUUCAAAGGCGUGGUCAAUGUUCACUCCAUGUUUACCAAAAUCGACUACCUGCUGUGCCCUUAAAAAGUCUCUUCCAAUUCCAAAGAUUGAAAUCAUUCUAUGUUUUCUGGCCACAGCAGAAUUCAUCUAGAAAGCAAUAUAUUAAGGAUAACUAUAAAAUUUCAAGCCAGGAAUGGUGGCUCAUGCCUGUAAUCCCAGAACUUUGGGAGGCUGAGGUGGGCAGAUCACGAGGUCAGGAGUUCAAGACCAGCCUGGCCCACGUGGUGAAACCCGGUCUCCACUAAAAACACGAAAAGUUAGCUUGGCAUAGUAGCUACUCAGGAGGCUGAGGCAGGAGAAUCACUUGAACCCAGAAGGCAGAGGUUGCAGUGAGCAGAGAUGGCGCCACGGCACUCCAGCCUGGGCAACAGAGCGAGACUCGGUCUCAAAACACAAACAAACAAAAAAAACUUUAAAGUGUUUGGAAAUUAAAUACUACACUACUAAAUAACACGUAGAUCAAAGAAGAAAUCGUCAAGAAAUUAGAAAAUAUUUUAAGCAAACGAUAAAAUGCUCCAUGUAAAAACUUAUGGGAGCAGCCGGAAUCUCGAUCCGAGGGAAUUCAGUCCUUAAGCACUACGCUACCAACGACCGAAAGCUACAAGGCCAUCGUCCAGUUUUGUUUCUCAAAUAUUAGAAAAUAUCAGCAAAUUAUACCUAAAGAAUGGAGUGGGAAGGGAGUGGGGGAGACGUGGGUGCACCUCAAUACCUUAGAAAAUGAUCCUACGGCAGGGAAAACCGACCGAGAAACAUUGGCUCCCCGAGAAGCCUCCUGAAAGUGUCAACCCCGAACAGCAGCGACAGGGAUACAAAGACAGCAGGUGCGGGCUUCCAAACCCAGGAAUGAAGGUGGGCACCUCCGCGCAGCCUGAAGAAACAAAGUUUUUCUUUGUUUUUAAAGAAGGGAAUUGCGAGCAACUUUAUGUCAAUUUGACAACUGGAUGGAAUGGGCAGUGAUAAAAAGUGCAGCCCCACGAAACCCACCCAAAUGCAGAAAAUCUGAAAGGUUUGAUCUCUGGAAAAUAAAUUUAAUUUGGCCAGGCACGGUGGCUCAUGCCUCUAAUCCCAGCAUUUUGGGAGGCCGAGGUGGGCAGAUCACGAGGGCAGGAGAUGGAGACCAGCCUGACUGACAUGGCGAAAUCCCGUCUCUACUAAAAGCACAGAAAUUAGCUGGGUGUGGUGGCGAGAACCUGUAGUCCCACGUACUCGGGAGGCUGAGGCAGGAGAAUCGCUUGAACCCGGGAGGCGGAGGUUGCAGUGAGCCAAGGUCACACAAUUGCACUCCAGCCUGGCGACAGAGCAGGACUCUGUCUCAAAACAAAAAGAAAAAGAAAGAAAGAAAGAAAGAGGAGAGAGAGAGAGAGAGAGAGAAAGAAAGAAGGAAGGAAGGAAGGAAGGAAGGAAGGAAGGAAGGAAGGAAGGAAGGAAGGAAGGAAGGAAGGAAGGAAGGAAGGAAGGAAAGAAAAGGAAAAUAAAUUUAAUCUCAAAUUUUAAAAAACCUCUCCUCAAAAAAUCUCUAGGCCUGGGCAGCUCUAUUAGCAAAUGUAUCUAAAUUAGCCUAAAUGUGAAUGAUAACAACAUUCCACAGCCUCUUUCAGAGAUAAGAGAAGGGCAACAUAUCCCAGAGUCCAGGGGGCCGGGCAUCCCAGACACCGAAGCCUGCCAACAGACGCGCUGGCAGGAAUGCCACACCCCAGUCUCCCGUAGGAGCACGUAGUUUUAAUCCUAAACCAAACACGAGUAUAUUGAAUUCAGCAAUUUGCAAACCAAAGGAUCAUCCUGAUCAGACAUAUUUAGUCCACCAAUGCAGUGAUAAUUUAACAGUAAAGGAAUUGAUUAAUGCACUUAACUCCUUGACAGCAGAGGAGAAAAUUUAUAUCAUCGUUUGAACAGAAGAGGCGAAAAGCAGUUGGUAAAAUCCAACAUCUAUUCACACUGAAACUCUUAGCGAGCUAGGAGUUGAAGGUAACUUAUUGCGAAGCCCUGGUAAUAGACUCAGUGACCAGAGAGAAGAGCUUUGCAAAAGCUCCCCACAGGCGCGUGGUCUCUGGACCCAGGACAAAGGUGACAUUGAGGGCCACGGGGAGAUGAGAUCUUCUUACCAAAUCGUGUUUGAUCAAUUUGAGGAAAAGAAAGUGAAUCCUGGCUGUACCUCAUAUCACCCCGAAUAAUUAAUUCUCGGAAUGUGAAGCUCGCAGAGGAAGGCGUGGGAGAAGCCUUCUGCUGACCUUUCGCUGGACAGAGAACUUUGACUCGGCCCCAAAAAGCACCCACCACGAGUAGAAUGUAGACGCUGGUAGACAUUCAGAUGAAGAACUUCUGUCCUUGAAAACACAGCUAAGAGCGGACGGUCAAGCCCCACUGAGAGGAAGAUACCCCAGGACUGCUGUCGACCACAGGCUUGUAGCCAAUAGGCAGAAGGAGCAUUCUAACCAGUGAGACAAAGAAAGACAGGUCCACUGAGAAAUCUGAAAUAGGCACUUCACAGAAAGGAUGCCUGAUGUCCACUGGGCACAGAAGUGAUCUUCAGCCGCAUCAGUCUUCAUGAUCAUGGCAGUGAAAUCCAUGUCAUGCUAACACCGUCCCCAGAGCGGCCAGUGUGUGAGAACCGAGAGCCCCCGGCACUGCGGAGGAGCGGGAAGAGGAACUGGGGUCCUCACACCUGCUCGUGUGAAUGUUGGUGGCUUCAGCCUCUUUGGAAAACUGUAUUUCAGUAUUUACUACAGGUAAAAACACCCCGACUGUAUGACCCAGUGUAGGAGCUGCAAUUCAAGAUGAGAUUGGGUGGGGACACGGCAAAAUCGUAUCACCCAGCAAGUCCACUGCGGUUUAUACCCAACAGCUGCAACAUU